rnacentral:rRNA from 1 species
UUCCGGUUGAUCCUGCCGGACCUUACUGCUAUCGGGAUGAGACUAAGCCAUGCAUGUCGAGCGCUCUUCAGCUAUGUAGAGAGCGCGGCGAACGGCUCAAUAACACGUAGUUAACCUACCCUCGGGAUGGGAAUAACCCCGGGAAACUGGGAUUAAUACCCACUAGAUGAUUAUACCUGGAAUGGCUUAUCAUCGAAAGAGUCUGGAAACAUGCUUCCAGCGUCGCCCGAGGAUGGGACCGCGUCCGAUCAGGUAGUUGGUGGGGUAAUGGCCUACCAAGCCUAUAACCGGUACGGGCCCUGAGAGGGGGAGCCCGGAGAUGGAAACUGAGAAAAGGUUCCAGGCCCUACGGGGUGCAGCAGGCGCGAAACCUCCACAAUGCGCGAAAGCGUGAUGGGGUUAUCCCGAGUGCCGUCCGAUGAGGAUGGCUUUUUAUCGAUGUAAGGAUUCGAUAGAAUAAAGGGGGGGCAAGACUGGUGUCAGCCGCCGCGGUAAUACCAGCCCCCUGAGUGGUAAGGACGAUUAUUUGGCCUAAAGCGUUCGUAGCCGGCUUAUCAAGUCUUUUGUUAAAUCCAACGAUUUAAUCGUUGGGCCGCAAAAGAUACUGUUAUGCUAGAGGACGGGAGAGGUCGACGGUAGUCCAGGGGUAGGGGUGAAAUCCUAUAAUCCUUGGAGGACCACCAGUGGCGAAGGCGGUCGACUAGAACGUGCCUGACGGUGAGGGACGAAAGCUGGGGGAGCGAACCGGAUUAGAUACCCGGGUAGUCCCAGCUGUAAACGAUGCGGGCUAGGUGUUGGGGCAGCCACGAGCUGCUCCAGUGCCGCAGAGAAGUUGUUAAGCCCGCCGCCUGGGGAGUACGGCCGCAAGGCUGAAACUUAAAGGAAUUGGCGGGGGAGCACCACAAGGGGUGAAGGCUGCGGUUUAAUUGGACUCAACGCCGGA